CCUGGCUCAAUCUGUAAGGAAAGGAGGGGAAUCAAUCUGCCUGAUUGCCGUAGACCCUUCAUUUUGCACUGCUCAGCCCCUUGCCAAGCAGAGCAGCAGGGGAGUCUCCGCUCAGUUGCUCCCAGCAGGUGUCACUAUGGAAUGGGAAAAUGCAAUUCCAGGGCUGGGAAAGAAGUCUGGCAACAGGUGGAGCAUCCUCUGACACUGCUGCCGAGAGAAACUCAGAUACUUCUGCUGGUGAGGACCAUGUUUGGAUAAACAGAGAAAGGACUUGAGUGUCCUCAGCAUCAUCUCCUCACAUCUCCAUUCCCUGAAGUGCUCCCUCAGAGUCAGUGCAUCAGUGAUUUCUUCAGAUUCAUCUCCAACAUGUAGCAACCAUGUCAGGCAAUUAUAGAGAGCUCAGAUGUUGAAGAAUUCGAUUUCAAGCAUUACACAAGUAUGUAUCAUUUGUACUCAUCUUUUAAAAUUCCGCUGGCAUGGAAGAGUAGCAAAA